AACGAACGCUGGCGGCAUGCCUAACACAUGCAAGUCGAACGAGACCUUCGGGCCGAUUGGCGCUCGGCUGCGUAACGCGUGGGAAGUUGCCCUUGGGUUCGGAAUAACAGUUGGAAAGGACUGCUAAUAUCGGAUGAUGACGUAAGUCCAAAGAUCUAACGCCCAGGGAUGAGGCGGCGUAGGAUUAGCCUGUUGGUGGGGUAAAGGCCUACCAAGGCGACGAUCCUUAGCUGGUCUGAGAGGAAGAUCAGCCACACUGGGACUGAGACACGGCCCAGACUCCUACGGGAGGCAGCAGUGGGGAAUAUUGGACUAUGGGCGGAAUGCUGAUCCAGCAAUGCCGCGUGAGUGAUGAAGGCCUUAGGGUUGUAAAGCUCUUUUACCCCGGAUGAUAAUGACGGUACCGGGAGAAUAAGCCCCGGCUAACUCCGUG
rnacentral:rRNA from 1 species